UGGGGAAUUGUUCGCAAUGGGCGCAAGCCUGACGACGCAACGCCGCGUGGAGGAUGAAGAUUUUCGGAUCGUAAACUCCUGUCGAAUGGGACGAAUGGCUCGGCCGUGAAUAACGGCCGGGAAUGACGGUACCGUGAGAGGAAGCCCCGGCUAACUCCGUGCCAGCAGCCGCGGUAAUACGGGGGGGGCAAGCGUUGUUCGGAAUUACUGGGCGUAAAGGGCUCGUAGGUGGCCACCUAAGUCUGACGUGAAAUCCCUCGGCUUAACCGGGGAACUGCGUCGGAUACUGGGUGGCUUGAAUCCGGGAGAGGGACGUGGAAUUCCAGGUGUAGCGGUGAAAUGCGUAGAUAUCUGGAGGAACACCGGUGGCGAAGGCGGCGUCCUGGACCGGUAUUGACACUGAGGAGCGAAAGCCAGGGGAGCAAACGGGAUUAGAUACCCCGGUAGUCCUGGCCCUAAACGAUGAGUGCUUGGUGUGGCGGGUAUCGAUCCCCGCCGUGCCGUAGCUAACGCGUUAAGCACUCCGCCUGGGGAGUACGGUCGCAAGGCUG
rnacentral:rRNA from 1 species